rnacentral:rRNA from 1 species
UACGGAGGAUGCAAGCGUUAUCCGGAAUGAUUGGGCGUAAAGCGUCCACAGGUGGCUGUGUAAGUCUGCUGUUAAAGAGUCUAGCUCAACUAGAUACAAGCAGUGGAAACUACACGGCUAGAGUACGUUCGGGGCAGAGGGAAUUCCUGGUGUAGCGGUGAAAUGCGUAGAGAUCAGGAAGAACACCGGUGGCGAAGGCGCUCUGCUAGGCCGUAACUGACACUGAGGGACGAAAGCUAGGGGAGCGAAUGGG